CAUGCAAGUGCAAGGUGGAGACAUUUGCUUUUUCAAAGUAAGCACGUAAGAAACUGUGGUGCCACUACCCUUUCGCCAAUUCACUCCCGCUUGUGUCCCUGGGUGGUGGAAGAACCUGAGUCGAGACACAUUUUAGUUCUUUGUCUUCUUGAACACCAGCUACACCAUGUGAUGAAGUAAACAGCAAGCUGAAGUCGGGUGUGAUCAAUGACUGAGGUCAGGAAUCAGGAAAGCUGCCACCAAGAGAAAGCAAAUGACCAGAAAGGAAGAGAAUUACCUACAGAAAGUGACAACCGUAAAAUAGAUCUCCUCUGGGACGUGAGCCUUCACUGCGGCCUCAGCUCCUGCCCUCCUGUAGGAGGAUUUGCCCCAACUGAACCACGGUGCUCCCCCGACCUGGGAGAAAUGAAUGCAUAAGCCAGGAUUGGGUUUUUCCUUUGGAAAUUUGAACUCAGAGAUGCAAGUGUGGAUGAAUUGACAUCAUCAUGGCCUCAGAGUAAAGGACUGAAAAUUGCCCCUGCUGUAUUCGAAGCUUCAGGUACUUUCCAACAUGUGCAGGUGGCUCUGGUCAUGGAAUGUAUUACUGAGCCCACUUCUCCCUCUCUCUCUCUGUCCAAGUCCUACUCCCGAA
rnacentral:lncRNA from 1 species